UACGAAGGGGCUAGCGUUGUUCGGAAUCACUGGGCGUAAAGCGCACGCAGGCGGAUUGAUAAGUCGGGGGUGAAAUCCCGGGGCUCAACCUCGGAAUUGCCUUCGAUACUGUUAGUCUUGAGUCCGGGAGAGGUGAGUGGAAUUCCUAGUGUAGAGGUGAAAUUCGUAGAUAUUAGGAAGAACACCAGUGGCGAAGGCGGCUCACUGGCCCGGUACUGACGCUGAGGCGCGAAAGCGUGGGGAGCAAACAGGGAU
rnacentral:rRNA from 1 species